rnacentral:rRNA from 1 species
GACGAACGCUGGCGGCGUGCCUAAUACAUGCAAGUUGAGCGAUGAAGAUUGGUGCUUGCACCAAUUUGAAGAGCAGCGAACGGGUGAGUAACGCGUGGGGAAUCUGCCUUUGAGCGGGGGACAACAUUUGGAAACGAAUGCUAAUACCGCAUAAUAACUUUAAACAUAAGUUUUAAGUUUGAAAGAUGCAAUUGCAUCACUCAAAGAUGAUCCCGCGUUGUAUUAGCUAGUUGGUGAGGUAAAGGCUCACCAAGGCGAUGAUACAUAGCCGACCUGAGAGGGUGAUCGGCCACAUUGGGACUGCGACACGGCCCAAACUCCUACGGGAGGCAGCAGUAGGGAAUCUUCGGCAAUGGACGAAAGUCUGACCGAGCAACGCCGCGUGAGUGAAGAAGGUCUUCGGAUCGUAAAACUCUGUUGGUAGAGAAGAACGUUGGUGAGAGUGGAAAGCUCAUCAAGUGACGGUAACUACCCAGAAAGGGACGGCUAACUACGUG